AUUGAACGCUAGCGGGAUGCCUUACACAUGCAAGUCGAACGGCAGCACGGACUUCGGUCUGGUGGCGAGUGGCGAACGGGUGAGUAAUGUAUCGGAACGUGCCCAGUAGCGGGGGAUAACUACGCGAAAGCGUAGCUAAUACCGCAUACGCCCUAAGGGGGAAAGCAGGGGAUCGCAAGACCUUGCACUAUUGGAGCGGCCGAUAUCGGAUUAGCUAGUUGGUGAGGUAAUGGCUCACCAAGGCGACGAUCCGUAGCUGGUUUGAGAGGACGACCAGCCACACUGGGACUGAGACACGGCCCAGACUCCUACGGGAGGCAGCAGUGGGGAAUUUUGGACAAUGGGGGAAACCCUGAUCCAGCCAUCCCGCGUGUGCGGAUGAAGGCCUUCGGGUUGUAAAGCACUUUUGGCAGGAAAGAAACGGCGCGGGUUAAUACCCUGCGCAACUGACGGUACCUGCAGAAUAAGCACCGGC
rnacentral:rRNA from 1 species